GCCAUGGGGAUCAGGCUCCUCUGUGUGGUGGCCUUUUGUUUUCCAGGACUAGGCUUCAUGGAUGCAGCAGUAACCCAAACUGAAAGAUAUCUGGUCAAAAGAACAAGAGAGAAAGUUGUGAUGGAAUGUUCACAGAAUAUGGGCCACGACUCAAUGUUCUGGUAUCGACAAGACCCAGCUCUGGGGCUACAGCUGCUCCAUUUCUCAUACCGUGUUGACGAUGAACAGAAAGGAGAUGCCCCUGAAGGGUACAGUGUCUCUAGAAAGAAGAAGGAGAAUUUCACCCUGAUCCUGGAGUCUGCCAGCACCAACCAGACAUCUGUGUACCUCUGUGCCAGCAGCUUAUCCACAGUGCUGCACAGCCACAUCCUCUCUGCACAAAAAGGGCAGAUGGAAGAGGGAAGUGACCCCAACUCAGGGCUGAGUCAUGCUGGCUUCUGUAACACAUUUGUACCAAUUAGAAGAAAGUUGGUCACUCAAGAGGAAUGA